rnacentral:rRNA from 1 species
AGGUGCGAUCAUACCAGCACUAAUGCAUCGGAUCCCAUCAGAACUCCGCAGGUAAGCGUGCUAGGGCGAGAGUAGUACUAGGAUGGGUGACCUCCUGGGAAGUCCUCGUGUUGCACUUC